rnacentral:tRNA from 1 species
CCUCUGAUAGCUCAGUUGGCAGAGCGGUGGACUGUAGUGUUGAGUCGUAGAUAUCCAUAGGUCGCUGGUUCAAAUGCGGCUCAGAGGG